CGGACCCCGAGAGCAUUCUUGUGCGCAGCAUUUUUCUGCCACACACCAAGCGUACGGGAACCGAUGUAACAUACCAGAUUUUGGUAUAAAAAUAAAAAUAAAUAAAAAUAGUGCGAGAAACCUUUUUUAUUGGAUUUGUAGAAGUAAAACAUAAGUCAAAAGUGAGUUGUGCUGAAAUCGGAAUGAAAACAAAAGAUUUAGAAUUUUCUGUUGAAAACGGGACAGAUAAAUUAGCAGAAAAUGCACAGUCUCAGAAAAUUAUGAAAAUUGGAGGAUAGGUCGGAAAUAUUUUUAUGAGGUUAGAUUUAAAGUUUCAUAUUUUUCUGACACCCGUAGAGUGAGAAAUAAAAUCCGACAGCUAUCUGAUAAAGAUUACAGUUCGGUACAAUUUUCGGUUACCAAAUGGGGUCGAAACUGAAAACUUAAAAUAUAU
rnacentral:lncRNA from 1 species